GGAUGACUGGAGUACAAAGAUAGGCA
rnacentral:piRNA from 1 species